UGCAGCAGAACUGUCUCAUCCUGCAGAAGUCAUGAUGUGAAGGGUGUAAUGCAGAACUGGGAGGCUUUGCUGGGCUGUUUGACCUGGGGGCAGCAGGUUUUGUCGCCCCGAUCCUGGGACAGACGGAGUGGGGACCAAACUCAACCUUUUUGGAGGAGAAAGAUCUGUCUAUCAAUCUUCAUGUCCACUGUUUGCCACGAGUCGUGGAACAAAUAAGAAUCAAAUGAAAGUACUAAAUACCUUGACUCAAAUUUAGUUUUGACAGAUACCAAAUCGGCCAAGUAAUAACUAUACAAAAUUGGAUCCAAAUUUGGCUCAGAAGUUUCAGCCGAAACCUUUUCAAAUCUCCGGUAAAAUAUCAUUCAGAUGAAACUCUUCUCUGUUUGCAGUUUUAUUUUGUCUGUAGGCAUGGAAAUGUGUCUUGCAAUACAAGACUGGGAACAAAUGAAUGUUCUAUCUGCGAUCUGGGACCCUAUAGCGCCUCCCGGGGGGCAUGAGUUGGUACUGGAUUUUGUCUGCCAGUGUGACGUUGCGCAAUACGUCACUUUCAGUGAAAGUGUUCUCCACUGAAUGGCUCACCAAUAUGGAACGUGGAAGUGGAGCGCGGGGCCCAGCUGCCCAGGCUCGGGGACAUCGCCGAGGGGGACCUGCUGAUCGGACUGGUCUCCUCUGGGGUCCCCAGCAACGGCUUCAGCCUGGUCCGCAAACUCCUGGAGAGGGCCAACCGGAGCUACAGCGCCCCUGCUCCCUUUUGGCAAGUCAGGACAGACUGUCGGUAAGUCAUCUUUUCAGUCACAAGAUGGACCUGAGUGUACUUUUAAUGUAUUUGUGUGUGGUAACACGUUUAGACUUUCCCAAACAAUUGGUAGCAUUCGUUGCAGUUUUACUGUUUUGGUACAACAUUAAGACAACAUUUUCUCUGAGCCCUGGUGCUUCCUGCCAUUCUUUGGCCAAUGGAUUUACCCUCCAUUUGCCAUAAUGUCUGUUUUUGCUGAGAAAUAAUCCAGCCAUGAAAUUUGGUGGUAAAGAAUAAUUAUUUAACGUGUUGUAACCCUACCCAAAUGUGAGGACUUUCUGUUUUUAUAUCAUAGUAAACUGAAUAUAUUUAGGUUGUGGACUGUAAAAAAACAAAACACAGACAUUGAGACAUUCAUGCAUUUUUCACAUUUUUCUGACAUUUUACAGUGCAAAUGAUUAAUUGAGAAAAUAAUCAGCAGAUUAAUGGAUAAUGAAAGUUAUUUUUAAGUUGCAUUCCUAAAUUAUUUAGGUGUAACAUCCCUCAGGUGUUGUCCCAGGGGCUGGCAGUGGAUUUAGGUGCUAGGGGUGGGAAUCUCCAGAGGCCUCACGAUCCGAUAUCAUCACGAUACUUAUGUCACGAUUCGAUAUUAUUGCGAUUUUAAACAUAUUGCAAUAUUCUGCGAUAUAUUGCAAUUUAUUACCUUUUUUCCAACUUCAAAUUUUUCCAAAUUUCAAAUGAUGUGCCCAAAAGGAAACUUUGUCAACAUCUGUUUUAUCUCAAAAGAUCAAUUUCUCUGUUGGUUCAUCUCACUUCAGUUUUAUUGCUACAAAAUGGGACCAACACAUAUGUAAUAAAAGAUUGAUACUUGGCAUCUGUAUCGAUACAGUGUUGCCAUGGAAAAUAUCGCGAUACUAUGCUGUAUCGAUUCCCCCCCCCACCCCUAUGUUGAACGCACGCGGACACUUGAUUUUCAAAUGAAGCAUGUUUUAGCAAUCUGGAAGGGUGGUGUGCCUCUGGAUGAAGCUGCAUUUGCAUUUUGGAAAUCAGUUACCUUUUUUAUGAUGACCUAGUGUGAGGCAGCGAAAAAAAGUGUUUCCUGUGGAAACCUAGUAGGAUAACCGCUGUGCACAUUGUAAACAUAAAUAAGCAGCCUUCUUUUCAUAUUCAGCACAGUUCCCCCCUCUUGAAAAUGUAGUGGUCUCUUUGUAGUUCUUGGUUCUCGUGCAUAUUUCCCUCCUUCACUCAGAUGUGUCUCGAUGGAGCAUCCCCCCAGUGUUUUCCUGGCUCCAAAAGGAGGGGGGGUCUGAGUGAGGAGGAGAUGUCCCGCACCUUCAACUGAGGCCUGGGGGCGGUGCUGGUGGUUCCCCCCCUGGCUGCUCAGAGGGUCUUACGCCAGCUUCGAGCACAUGAAGAGGCCUGGAUCGUGGGUUGACUGGCCCAGGCUGGGGUACGGGCCGCUGGCUGCACGGUCCAUUUUGUUGCAGAAGAAGUGGAUGCAGGAGCCAUCAUCAUGCAGGAGGCGGUGCCAGUGCUGGUCAGCGACCCAGAGGAGAGUCUGUCGGACAGAAUCAGGAAGGCAGAGCACCGAGCCUUCCCCGCUGCUCUGGAGCUGGUGGCCAGCGCCUUCACUUCAUUCAUGCCUUCUUCAGACUGUACUCACAGUAUACUCAUAGCAUUGUAUGUCAUGAUUUUUGUGCGUAAAAAAACCAUAGUAUAGUAUGUCAAAAAAAGUGAUAUAAAGACACAGUAUAGUAUGUUGAAAAAAGUGAUAAAAAUCCGUAGUAUAGUAUGUGGA